rnacentral:rRNA from 1 species
AGAUUGAACGCUGGCGGCAUGCCUUACACAUGCAAGUCGAACGGCAGCACGGGAGCAAUCCUGGUGGCGAGUGGCGAACGGGUGAGUAACACAUCGGAACGUGCCCAAUCGUGGGGGAUAACUACGCGAAAGCGUAGCUAAUACCGCAUAUGAUCUACGGAUGAAAGCAGGGGAUCGCAAGACCUUGCGCGAAUGGAGCGGCCGAUGGCAGAUUAGGUAGUUGGUGAGGUAAAGGCCCACAAGCCUUCGAUCUGUAGCUGGUCUGAGAGGACGACCAGCCACACUGGGACUGAGACACGGCCCAGACUCCUACGGGAGCAGCAGUGGGGAAUUUGGACAAUGGGCGCAAGCCUGAUCCAGCCAUCGCCGCGUGCGAGGAU